rnacentral:lncRNA from 1 species
GGCCUUCUUUCGUACGUAUCUUCUUCGUCUGGACUCCAUUUAGAUUAUUUUUGGGCUCGUUGGAUUCUGUUCAUCAUCUUGGACCUUGUUUUGAGCUUAUUAUGAACCGAAUCUUGAGAUAUUUUUCUCAACAACUAAUCUUAUGAUUUUUUUUACUUUCAGUUGGGUUAUAGACUCUGAUUCUAGUGCUCAUUUAUAUACUUCUAUGUAGGGUCUUGAGAAAAGUAGAAGACUGAGGGAAGAAGAAAUGAUCCUACG